AUGAGCGCGGGCGCGACAACCUUGUCCCAGUCGAUGAUGGCGGCGGCGAACGCCGGUGCUCCUUAUCGUCCUCUACCUCCAAGGACGCGCACCGGUACAGCUCAGACACCCCCGUCCCCAAAUCCCGUCCACCCAUCCGGCGUUGUCCAGCUCAUCCUCACGCUCGUGGAUUCGCCUCCUCCUGUACGCGACACUUGA
rnacentral:rRNA from 1 species